rnacentral:rRNA from 1 species
CAGUCGCCACGGUAAUACGUAGGUGGCAAGCGUUGUCCGGAAUUAUUGGGCGUAAAGCGCGCGCAGGCGGAUCAGUCAGUCUGUCUUAAAAGUUCGGGGCUUAACCCCGUGAGGGGAUGGAAACUGCUGAUCUAGAGUAUCGGAGAGGAAAGUGGAAUUCCUAGUGUAGCGGUGAAAUGCGUAGAUAUUAGGAAGAACACCAGUGGCGAAGGCGACUUUCUGGACGAAAACUGACGCUGAGGCGCGAAAGCCAGGGGAGCGAACGGGAUUAGAUACCCCCGUAGUCCCUGUCUCUUAUACA